GACGAACGCUGGCGGCGUGCUUAACACAUGCAAGUCGAACGGAAAGGCCCUGCUUUUGUGGGGUGCUCGAGUGGCGAACGGGUGAGUAACACGCGAGUAACCUGCCCUUGACUUUGGGAUAACUUCAGGAAACUGGGGCUAAUACCGGAUAGGAGCUCCUGCUGCAUGGUGGGGGUUGGAAAGUUUCGGCGGUUGGGGAUGGACUCGCGGCUUAUCAGCUUGUUGGUGGGGUAGUGGCUUACCAAGGCUUUGACGGGUAGCCGGCCUGAGAGGGUGACCGGCCACAUUGGGACUGAGAGACGGCCCAGACGCCUACGGGAGGCAGCAGUGGGGAAUAUUGCAGAAUGGGCGGAAGCCUGAUGCAGCGACGCCGCGUGCGGGAUGACGGCCUUCGAGUUGUAAACCGCUUUCGCCUGUGACGAAGCGUGAGUGACGGUAAUGGGUAAGGAAGCACCGGCUAACUACGUG
rnacentral:rRNA from 1 species